GUAACCUGGCUGUAAGAUGCCAUGGCAAUAAUACAGCAUUGCUGUAAAAAACGACUCCUGAUGUCAGUUACUCAGACAGAACACCAACUGGCCCCAGAUACUGAAGGAGAAGCCUUGCUAGCGGGGAUGUUUUAAAGUGUUGAUCACUGCAGCCUAAGCAGACAUGGAGGCACAUCAGAUGACCAGACAGACACCCCCACCCUCAUUAUGAUGGUGGAUCUAUUGAGGGACUUGUCAUCGUGAGAGCUGGACAGCAGGGAAACAUUUGCAGCUGCCUGCUGCUGCUCUUUGUGGAAAGAUGUUGAAGGAUAUCAACACUAUCACAUUUGACUGAAAGUUGCUGCAGCUCUCUGGGCUGAACUUGCAGGAAAAAUGUGAAUGUUGUCAAGGACAGGAAA